CCUACGGGUGGCUGCAGUCGGGAAUAUUGGACAAUGGAGGAAACUCUGAUCCAGCCAUGCCGCGUGAGUGAUGAAGGCCUUCGGGUUGUAAAGCUCUUUGAUUAGGGACAAUAAUGAUGGUACCUAAAGAACAAGCCCCGGCAAACUCUGUGCCAGCAGCCGCGGUAAUACAGAGGGGGCUAGCGUUGUUCGGAAUUACUGGGCGUAAAGCGUACGUAGGCGGCUUUGUAAGUCAGAUGUGAAAGCCCAGGGCUUAACCUUGGAAUUGCAUUUGA
rnacentral:rRNA from 1 species